UUCGCGGCCUAUCAGCUUGUUGGUGAGGUAGUGGCUCACCAAGGCGACGACGGGUAGCCGGUUUGAGAGGGCGACCGGCCACACUGGGACUGAGACACGGCCCAGACUCCUACGGGAGGCAGCAGUGGGGAAUAUUGCACAAUGGGCGAAAGCCUGAUGCAGCGACGCCGCGUGAGGGAUGACGGCCUUCGGGUUGUAAACCUCUUUCAGCAGGGAAGAAGCGAAAGUGACGGUACCUGCAGAAGAAGCGCCGGCUAACUACGUGCCAGCAGCCGCGGUAAUACGUAGGGCGCAAGCGUUGUCCGGAAUUAUUGGGCGUAAAGAGCUCGUAGGCGGCUUGUCACGUCGGUUGUGAAAGCCCGGGGCUUAACCCCGGGUCUGCAGUCGAUACGGGCAGGCUAGAGUUCGGUAGGGGAGAUCGGAAUUCCUGGUGUAGCGGUGAAAUGCGCAGAUAUCAGGAGGAACACCGGUGGCGAAGGCGGAUCUCUGGGCCGAUACUGACGCUGAGGAGCGAAAGCGUGGGGAGCGAACAGGAUUAGAUACCCUGGUAGUCCACGCCGUAAACGGUGGGCACUAGGUGUGGGCAACAUUCCACGUUGU
rnacentral:rRNA from 1 species